rnacentral:misc_RNA from 1 species
UCCCCGUUGCCGGGGCAGUCUGACUAGAGAAAUUCAACUAAUCAUAAGGGUUGCGCUCGUUAAUGGACUUAACCAAACAUCUCACGACACGAGCUGACGACGGCCAUGCAACACCUGUCACUGGAUUCCCGAAGGCACGGUCUCCUUUCGAAGACUUUCCCAGGAUGUCAAACCUUGGUAAGGUUCUACGCUUUGCAUCGAAUUAAACAACACGCUCCACCGCUUGUGCGGGUCCCCGUCAAUUCCUUUAUGUUUUAGUCUUGCGACCGUACUCCACAGGCGGGAUGCUUAACGCGUUAGCUUCGCUACUAGAAGGGUCGAUACUUCUAACAGCUAGCAUCCAUAGUUUACGGCGUGGACUAC